GACGAACGCUGGCGGCGUGCUUAACACAUGCAAGUCGAACAGUGGCGAACGGGUGAGUAACACGUGAGUAACCUGCCCUCCACUUUGGGAUAACUCCGAGAAAUCGGGGCGAAUACUGGAUCGGGGGGGAUGGGCUCGGGGCCUAUCAGUUUGUUGGUGAGGUAGUGGUCACCGAGGCGUGACGGGUAGCCGGCCUGAGAGGGGGACCAGCCACAAGGGGCCUGAGGGACGGACCAGACGGCAACGGGGGGCAGCGGGGGGGAGUAUUGCACAGUCGGGGAAAGCCUGUUAAAGCGGCGCCUGGUGGGGGAAGACGGCCUAGGGGUUGUAAACCUCUUUAAGCAAGGAAGCGGUACUAGCAGAAGAAGCGCCGGCUAACUACGUGCCAGCAGCCGCGGUAAUAC
rnacentral:rRNA from 1 species